rnacentral:rRNA from 1 species
AUUGAACGCUGGCGGCAGGCCUAACACAUGCCAGUCGAGCGGAGCGGAGGACGGGGGAGUAAUGCCUAGGAAUCUGCCAGGUAGUGGGGGAUAACGUCAGGAACCGGGAGCUAAUACCGCAUACUAUCAGAUGAGACUAGGUCGGAUUAGCUAGUUGGUGGGGUAAAGGCCGACCAAGGCGACGAUCCGUAACUGGUCUGAGAGGAUGAUCAGUCACACUGGAACUGUGACACGGUCCAGACUCCUACGGGAGGCAGCAGUGGGGAAUAUUGGACAAUGGGCGAAAGCCUGAUCCAGCCAUGCCGCGUGUGUGAAGAAGGUCUUCGGAUUGUAAAGCACUUUAAGUUGGGAGGCGUUACCAACAGAAUAAGCACCGGCUAACUUCGUGCCAGCAGCCGCGGUAAUUC